CAAAGAGAGGCGAGACCGCGAGGUGGAGCAAAUCUCAAAAAGCCGUCCCAGUUCGGAUCGCAGGCUGCAACCCGCCUGCGUGAAGUUGGAAUCGCUAGUAAUCGCGGAUCAGCAUGCCGCGGUGAAUACGUUCCCGGGCCUUGUACACACCGCCCGUCACACCAUGAGAGUCGGGAACACCCGAAGUCCGUAGCCUAACCGCAAGGGGGGCGCGGCCGAAGGUGGGUUCGAUAAUUGGGGUGAAGUCGUAACAAGGUAAC
rnacentral:rRNA from 1 species